rnacentral:rRNA from 1 species
GGAUGCGCUCAUCCCAGCACUUAAGCACCGGAUCCCAUCAGAACUUCGAAGUUAAGCGUGCUUGGGCGAGAGUAGUACGAGGAUGGGUGACCUCCUGGGAAGUUCCCUGUUGCCUUGA